AUUGAACGCUGGCGGCAUGCCUUACACAUGCAAGUCGAACGGCAGCACGGGAGCAAUCCUGGUGGCGAGUGGCGAACGGGUGAGUAAAGUAUCGGAACGUGCCCAGUCGUGGGGGAUAACGUAGCGAAAGUUACGCUAAUACCGCAUACGAUCUUUGGAUGAAAGCGGGGGAUCGCAAGACCUCGCGCGAUUGGAGCGGCCGAUAUCGGAUUAGGUAGUUGGUGGGGUAAAGGCUCACCAAGCCGACGAUCUGUAGCUGGUCUGAGAGGACGACCAGCCACACUGGGACUGAGACACGCCCCAGACUCCUACGGGAGGCAGCAGUGGGGAAUUUUGGACAAUGGGCGCAAGCCUGAUCCAGCCAUGCCGCGUGCAGGAUGAAGGCCUUCGGGUUGUAAACUGCUUUUGUACGGAACGAAAAGGUUUGACUUAAUACGUUGGACUCAUGACGGUACCGUAAGAAUAAGCACCGGCUAACUACGUGCCAGCCGCCGCCGUAAUAC
rnacentral:rRNA from 1 species